ACCUUUAGCACCUGUUUGGCACCUGUGAAGUCCUUCAUAUUCAAAACGGAUGCAACAAGAACGGAUGCUUGCCUGCCCUCCAGGUUGAAAAAGCAGCUCCAAUCUGUCUCCUCUCUGUGGCAAGGGAGAAGCACCCUCCACAAGGUCAUGAGGUGGGAACAUGCCUCCUUGUUCUAUUAGAACUACAGCCUCCGGGUUCCUGGAUCCGGCCCAUGGGCGUAGCCAGAGGUCGUGUCUGGGGGAACACUGGUUCGGUCCUGAUGGAAGGGGCAAACAAUGUUAUUUUAGAGCUCGACUAUGGAUGCGUUUACUUAGAUUCAGAUAAAGAACUGCGUACUAAUUAGGCCAAAGAGUCCUCUUCGAUGGUCACCGGAGAGUUGCAAAGACUGUCCCAGGAUGGGUUUAUACAACAAGAUCCCUUGGGGUCCAUGACAGGGAUGUGAAGUUCACACCACAGCAAAUGUGAAGUCAGCAGUACCCAGCCACAAGGUGGAAAUUUCAAGAGAAACAAGCUUAGAGAAAUAAACACACACACACACACACAAAACGCAACGCAGGCAGGAGGAGGGAGUGCGAGAAGAAAAGAGAGAAUGAGACGCAGAGACGGAACGUAUUUAAAAUAUAGUGUUAAUCCAUCCUUGGUUUGUCUGGGUGUGAGAGAUCUAGAGAUGUGAGGGGUAAUCAGAUUCCCAGCGUGUCUAUGCCAUUGAUAUGUUAAUACAAUUUUUUUCUUCA